GCCUGGGUGGCUCAGUCGGUUGAGCGGCUGACUUCGGCUCAGGUCAUGAUCUCGCGGUCCGUGGGUUCGAGCCCCGCGUCGGGCU
rnacentral:tRNA from 1 species